rnacentral:rRNA from 1 species
AACGAACGCUGGCGGCAGGCUUAACACAUGCAAGUCGAGCGCGUAGCAAUACGAGCGGCAGACGGGUGAGUAACGCGUGGGAAUCUACCCAACCCUACGGAAUAACGCAUGGAAACGUGUGCUAAUACCGUAUACGCCCUUCGGGGAAAGAUUUAUCGGGGAUGGAUGAGCCGCGUUGGAUUAGCUAGUUGGUGGGGUAAAGGCCUACCAAGGCGACGAUCCAUAGCUGGUCUGAGAGGAUGAUCAGCCACACUGGGACUGAGACACGGCCCAGACUCCUACGGGAGGCAGCAGUGGGGAAUAUUGGACAAUGGGCGAAAGCCUGAUCCAGCAAUGCCGGCGUGAGUGAUGAAGG